CGCGGCCUAUCAGCUUGUUGGUGAGGUAACGGCUCACCAAGGCGACGACGGGUAGCUGGUCUGAGAGGACGAUCAGCCACACUGGGACUGAGACACGGCCCAGACUCCUACGGGAGGCAGCAGCAGGGAAUAUUGCACAAUGGGCGAAAGCCUGAUGCAGCGACGCCGCGUGAGGGAUGAAGGCCUUCGGGUUGUAAACCUCUUUCAGGAGGGAAGAAGCGAAAGUGACGGUACCCACAGAAGAAGCCCCGGCCAACUACGUGCCAGCAGCCGCGGUAACACGUAGGGGGCGGGCGUUGUCCGGAAUCAUUGGGCGUAAAGAGCUCGUAGGCGGCUCAGUAAGUCGGGUGUGAAACCCCCAGGCUCAACCUGGGGACGCCACUCGAUACUGCUGUGGCUAGAGUCCAGUAGGGGAGUGCGGAAUUCCCGGUGUAGCGGUGAAAUGCGCAGAUAUCGGGAGGAACACCAGCGGCGAAGGCGGCACUCUGGGCUGGAACUGACGCUGAGGAGCGAAAGCGUGGGUAGCAAACAGGAUUAGAUACCCUGGUAGUCCACGCCGUAAACGUUGGGCACUAGGUGUGGGGACCCUCCAACGGUCUCCGUGCCGUAGCUAACGCAUUAAGUGCCCCGCCUGGGGAGUACGG
rnacentral:rRNA from 1 species